UGAGUCAACUUAUGGUCCAGCUUUGUGCAAAUGCUGACUGAAUCUCAGAAAGCACAAAAGCAAGCCACCCUUUUUAAACGUGGGCCACUGCAAGGUGAUUCAGGGUGUUCUGACUCGGUCGUGUUUUCUCUGAACUAACCUAGGCCUGAGCUGGAACAGCAGGAGUGAAUUAGAUUGCAUUCUGUAAGAAUUUCUGGACUGUGAAGGUUUGGAGCCAUUGACACACACAAACAUUGGCACUGAUGAGAAUUUACGUAGGGUUUUGUUUGUGACUUUCUUCUACAAAUCUCAAGGUGUGGCGCAUGGAAAUCAGGAUGCUUGACCAGUAAGAUGACCCGUAUCCUCUUUCUGCCCUUUCUCUUCAGCUCCUCCCACGCUCCCUGUUGGGCAUCUCAGGAGCAUCCAGCAAAGAUUAUGUUUAAAAAGCAAAUACACACAUAGCCCACUUCGUAUCUGCAGUAGAACAGGAAGUUCUGUAGCCCACUGUGGAUGGAAGCUCAGUGAAAAUGUUAUUGGAGGCUGGGGAAUAGGUCGUCUCCCCUCAAACAGCCUCUGGAAUUCUUUGCAUUUAGCACUUGGAAUUGUUCUUUCUAAAAGAAGGCAUUUGGAAGCUCACAGGGUACCACAACUUUUCCUGUCAUAUGAGAUGAGGCCUUGCUGAGAGUCAGAGACAAUCUAUAGGCACAGGAUUAAUUCUCAAAGUGACUGUUCAACUGAGAGCUCUUUGUCAUAUCCUACAAGCCAUUUUGUCUCCUAUUCUCCAUAAAAGGAAAACACAAGAGAGAAAGUAAACAGGCAAAAGCAUCACUCAUUAAACAGUAAAAUAGUUGCAAAUAUUGAAGUCGCGAUGCCCAACUGACUAGAAGCACCAAUGGGACGAGGUAGCAGUACCUGUGUCAUUACACAGAAUUGAAUGUGGACAGUGGGCUGGAGUCAAGGGACGAAUUGGAGGAUAUCUGUGGAAGAGCUGCAGGUGAGGACUUCAUGUCUCCCGUCAAGGGUUCCAGGGCAAACCACAGGCUAACUCUUAAACGGAUGUCUGUCACCUGCAGACUGAAACCUACCUGUCCACUCUCAGAUGUCCACAAGAGUCUUCUGAAUAGGUGCUGGGACCCUGUUACAUAAACAUCCGUCUUUCAUUUUCCAGCCUUUAACAGAAAUCCUUUAUAGCCACCUACCCGAGUCUUGUUGAUAGGUGUUGUCCUUCGGGGCUCAGAGGUGACUUCUCUAGGGAGGACAUCCUAGGGUCCGGCCCCAUUUCUAAUCCAUUCUUUCCCUUCACCUUGCUCUAACUCAUUAUCCUGAAUUGAACAUGGAAGAAGCAUUUCUGGUUUCUGAUGUUGACUUAUCUUGGCUGGUACCCUUGUUAGCUCCUGUUUCCUUAUCUCCCAGCACACUGUAGGUUGAGUUUUCU
rnacentral:lncRNA from 1 species